rnacentral:ribozyme from 1 species
GCUGCUCGAAACUUUGCGCACCUCUCCGUGGUGAGUAGCAGGCAACGCAGUAUGUAGAAUAUUGUGGCUAAGAAUGCAAAG